CUUAGACAUAUAUAUAUACUAAAUUAUAUGUGACUUACCACUUCCAGGUUAUAUUAAUAUAAUUCCUCCUAUGGGACUAUGAUAGGAAUCUAAGUACCAAAAAUAAAUGAUAAAUAUUCUCACUCUUAUUAUAAACUAUUCAGUUGUUUGAAGAGUAAAUUUAAUUACAGUGCUUUUCUGGAGAAGGAUUCAAAGAAGAGAUACAAUCUGGAAAUUAUGUUCACAUGCUAAAAUCUUUCACUUUUAAUCACAUACAUAAAAAUCAUGAUGUAGAUAGUACAGAUAAUUUAAUUAGAAUAUUCUUUUAUGUCAGAGAAGGUUCAUUUUCUAUUUUUUUAAAAACAGAAAAAAUAUUUCAUAAAAAUUCUAAUUGAAAAUGUUGUACUCUAAAUGAAAAGAUGUUUUAGGAAAUCUCCCAAUGAAAGGAACCUAAAAUUUGCCACAACCAACUGUUGCUUCAAAUUGUACACUAACAAAAGCUGCAGUUUUAUCAUUUUGCCCAUAAGAGGCACAGGGGAUUAAUUGAAAUUAAAAGAGGAAAGCAAAAGAAAUGCCCUCUGGAGACUGCUUUCAGAAAGGACAUACCAAUUAAGUUUAAAAAAAGAAAGAAAAAAGUAAAGAAAGGAAAAAGAAGAAACAGAAAGCAAAGAAUUAAAGAAAAAUCAAGCAGAAAAACCCUGUGAAAUGCUUUAACUACAAAACUGAUGGGAUAUUCUCUUAGAACAAGAAAUGAUUUAAACUUGACAUAUUUAAAAUAUUUAAUGCCAACAAGAAUUUCAGAUAUUCCUCUGCCAUGGGACAAAGUGAUGAGUUCUACUGGUGAGAAAGUUUACCUAAAACGGAAACCCCUCUCUUGUUUCCAUUAGGCAGUAAAUUGGAAUUUCAUUAACUGGAUUAUGACUCUUAUUUACUUUUAUUUUGAAACAAUAUAACACAUAAAGAAAAAUACAUAACAAGGAUCUUUUAUUCCUAAGCCACUUGUUGCUCCAUCUGCCAUUCCAUAUACUUAUGUGUAUUUAUAAAAAAAGAAUAUUCUACUAGCUAAGCGCAAUAAAAACAUUACUGUCAAGAUGUUAAUUAUGAUAUGUUAUUAACACCAAAUCCUCCAAUCUUAUCCAAAUGUAGAAUAUUUUCCCUUUAUAGAAAAAAAGAAUAUAGUUUAAUUUAGAACUGCAUGUUUUGUCUAAUUUUUAUAUUUUAGUAUCCUUUUAUUUGGAAUAGUUUCCUAGUCUUCUGUUAACUUUCAAGAAUGUUGUUUGGAAAUCAUUUCCCAGUAAUUAUAUAUUAUGUCCUUCAAUUUUUGUCUAAAGUUUCUGCAUGACUCUAUUCAAUUUAUGAACCUUUGGCAGAAAUGUCAUAGAAGCGAUGAUACCUUCUCAUUGGAUCCUAUCAGAUAUUGUGCUAUUUCAUAAUGUUCCCAUUAUUUAUGAUGAUGAGACUUUAUUUCUUGAUUAAUAUAGCUAUUUAUAAGACUGUCCACCAUAGAGCUACUCUUCUACCUUUAAAAUUAGGACCUCUUUGAGCUCCUGUCAUGGUGCAGUGGAAAUGAACCUGACUAGAAUCCAUGAUGAUGGAGGUUCAAUGCCUGGCUUUUCUUGGUGGGUUGGGGGUCUGGUGUUGCUCUCCAGCAGCUAUAGCUCCAAUUCAACCCCUAGCAUGGAAACUUCCAUAUACCAGGGCAUAGCUCUAAAAACCAAAAAAAUAAAAAAUAAAUAAAAAUAGUAACUAUUUUGUGUAGGUACGUUAAAUACUACAUAAAUAGCUCAACCAUUGAAAAACUUCAAGUUUAUAGAUAAUUUACAUCAUUACACAUUUAUGUCUUCCAAUUUUACUCAUUAUUAUUAUUACUUAUUUUAAUGCUCAAUUGCCCCAGAGUUGGCCAGUAUAAGUCACUUCAAGAUAUUUUUUUUUGUCCUUUUAUCAUACCCCCUCAAUUUUUAAAGGCUUCUUUAUUUUCUGGCACCAGAAAUUGCUGUGAUAUCAUCUUGUACCUUUUCUGUACCAACCUUGGCAUAAGCCAUUUCUUGAAGGGGUCUUAGUUGUGUUUAGUGAAGAAAAUUAUUUUGAAGGGAAGAUCUAGGUUCUAUGGAUGCUCUAUGCACUCAUUCGUACACAGAAUCAAUGUUCCCAGGCCCUCACAGUGGACAGAUUAACAGAGUCCCACAUACUCACACCCAUAUAUAUACACACAAACACAGAUACACACAAUAUAUAUUCAUACUUAUAUUCGUUUUUAUAAUCUCUCACUAGAUGUUGAAUAACAUGAACAAGCACUGGUACAUUAAUCCAGCACCAUAGAGCUUAUUCCAUUGUAUUUAUUUGAUGUGCAAUUGAAGAAAAUGUGGCUUAAGAUCAUGACCAUUCCUCCAGAAAUGUUUAACUUUUGAGUUUGCCAGGUACCACAUGCCUUUAGUAAUCCAGGAUAACCUCAGUCCAAAUGCACAUGUUGAGACGAUUUGAAGCUGAACUACCUAGUACCU
rnacentral:lncRNA from 1 species